rnacentral:lncRNA from 1 species
GAAACAACGAAACAAGAUAUGAAGCCGUACAUGAUAAAAUCAUCACCACACACUCAAAUGGCACAACUCUGGUAUUUCCAGGUUGCCAAGACAUAAAACAAACCAUCAUGGAUGGGGUGGAGCAAGGAAGAACAACACAUCCUCAACUAAGCACUCACAAACAUCAAAAUGACAAAACUACACAAUCUGCCAUAAACUGCAUCAUAGCACUUUGUGAGCUACAUGCAAAGCACCUACAGCCACCCAAAUAUGACAAAUAAUAUAUGUGGCUGUAUCUAUCCAAGA